rnacentral:rRNA from 1 species
CCCUCCGGGGUGCACCAGUAAACGGGUUUCUUGCCCUUGUAAACCCUGCCGUUAAGAUACAGCUUGCCGAACUCAGCGACGGUGGCCGCCUCGUAGGGAUAGGCCAUCGUCAGAUAGGGAUUGUCCCAUUCGCCGAAAACACCCAGCCGCUUGAACUGCGAGCGCUGAAUGUCCACGUAUUUUUCCGCGUAAGUCCGGCAGGCGCGGCGCUUUUCCACCUGCGACAUCGCCGCCUUUUUAGCACCCAGCUCCUUGUCCACCUGAUGUUCGAUGGGCAGGCCGUGGCAGUCCCAGCCCGGCACAUACACGCCGUCGAAACCGGACAUAUUUGUCGAUUUAAUGACGAUAUCCUUAAUGAUUUUAUUAAGAGCAGUGCCCAGAUGAAUAUUGCCGUUGGCAUAGGGAGAGC